GCCCAGGUGCCGGAACUGGUAGACGGGCUGGAUUUAGGUUCCAGUGUCCUCGUGGCGUGGGGGUUCGACUCCCCCCCUGGGCACCA
rnacentral:tRNA from 1 species